rnacentral:rRNA from 1 species
UGGCGAACGGGUGAGUAACACGUGGGUGAUCUGCCCUGCACUCUGGGAUAAGCCUGGGAAACUGGGUCUAAUACCGGAUAGGACCAUGCUUUAGUGUGUGUGGUGGAAAGUUUUUUCGGUGUAGGAUGAGCCCGCGGCCUAUCAGCUCGUUGGUGGGGUAAUGGCCUACCAAGGCGGCGACGGGUAGCCGGACUGAGAGGUUGGUCGGCCACAUUGGGACUGAGAUACGGCCCAG